rnacentral:tRNA from 1 species
UUUCUAAUAUGACAGAUUAGUGUAAUAGAUUUAAAUCCUAUGUAUGUAAUUAUAAAUUACUAUUAGAU